rnacentral:sRNA from 1 species
UAUCAUUACCGAGUUUACAACUCCCAAACCCAAUGUGAACGUUACCAAACUGUUGCCUCGGCGGGAUCGCUGCCCCGGGUGCGUCGCAGCCCCGGACCAAGGCGCCCGCCGGAGGACCAACCUAAAACUCUUAUUGUAUACCCCCUCGCGGGUUUUUUUUAUAAUCUGAGCCUUCUCGGCGCCUCUCGUAGGCGUUUCGAAAAUGAAUCAAAACUUUCAACAACGGAUCUCUUGGUUCUGGCAUCGAUGAAGAACGCAGCGAAAUGCGAUCAGUAAUGUGAAUUGCAGAAUUCAGUGAAUCAUCGAAUCUUUGAACGCACAUUGCGCCCGCCAGUAUUAUGGCGGGCAUGCCUGUCCGAGCGUCAUUUCAACCCUCGAACCCCUCCGGGGGGUCGGCGUUGGGGAUCGGCCCUCCCUUAGCGGGUGGCCGUCUCCGAAAUACAGUGGCGGUCUCGCCGCAGCCUCUCCUGCGCAGUAGUUUGCACACUCGCAUCGGGAGCGCGGCGCGUCCACAGCCGUUAAACACCCAACUUCUGAAAUGUUGACCUCGGAUCAGGUAGGAAUACCCGCUGAACUUAAGCAUAU